CUAGGAGUGUCGCAUCUGAUAAUAUCGAUCGUGAUAAUUUACGUUACAUUCCAAAAUUUCUUUUUUCUUUUACAAAAAAUUACAAUAUAAUAGAUGAAAAAUAGUGGCGGCCCUAAGCAUGUGCUAAAUAUCAAAGAGUUCUAUGCAAGGUCUAAUGAAUUUGAAGUGUUCAGGAUAGAGUUUUUCUUCCUUGUAUUCUUCAAACAUUUGCUAGCGCAGAAAAAAAGACAUUACUCAAAAAUGAACCAGGAAAUUUCCCACUUUGUUCUAGCCUCGGAGAGUUUUCUUUCUUGUAUUCUUCAAACAUCUGCCAGCGCACAAAAGAAAUACAUUACUCAAAAAUAAACCAAGAAAUUUCCCACUUUGUUCUAGCCCCGGAGAGCGAGGAAUGGCAGUAAGGCCACCCCGCAAAAUUUAAAUGAAAUCUCCCAUAAGAGAUGUGUUACACCUCCUUUUUUACCACCCGAGAGGGAGAUAUAAGAGAGUUUUUCUAAUUAAAGUGACAUUAUUCGAAAUGGAAUUAUUUUAUUUAUUUUUCAGAGUCGCCACUUGGAAUAAUUUAUGGUGUCCCAAGUCACCGGUUUAUUUUUAAAAUCCCAAAUCGAGGAAAUUUCGACUUUACUUUUAAAGUUUGCGAACAAGAAAUUCUAAGUAAGGAAUUCUGUUAACCCGGGAGAAGGUGUUAGGCAUUGCCGGGUUCCGUGGUCCUAGCACGGUCGCUUAAACGAAUAAGAUUGGCUUAUUUUCUGAUUAAUUACAUGUUUUAAACCUAUUGUGCAUUUUUAGCUUUAUAACCGCUUUUAAUUAUUUUAAACCGCUUUUAGGAAGAUUUAAAUGUCACUUAAAACAUGUCUUAAACCACGCUACAUGAAAUGCACCCGCGGUUCACGACACGUUCUAUUUAACAUUGUUUGAGAAAUUGAAAUUGGGUUACAUGAAAUGUACACCCGGAAUUUAAAAAUCACAACUACCUCACGGGAACCGUACCCGUGGCUAUGAUGAGUUAUUCAAAAAAACGCGCAUAGAGAAACUACGAAGGUUUGCAUUAACAACAUUUAUGAGGGCCAUGGAGAGUUCAAUUGAUGGCACACCUAAAUUUUACAAGGUUUUGAAUUAAGUUCAUGAGGGCCAUGGGUUAUUAAAGGGAAAAUGACACACCUCAAAUUUUCUACAAGAGUCAACUAAUUAUAUGAGGGCCACGGGCUUAGGGGUUUCAUUUGACAUGGCACACCUCAAAAGGUUUUAAAAGAAAAGUACUUAAUUAAGGGAUUCUAAGGAUGUUCUUAUUUUAAAACUAACUUAAACUUAACAAGGAAGCUAUUGAUUAUAAACCGGCUUUCUCUAGUCGUUUUGGACAAGGAGAAUGGGCCAGCAAUGGCUCUUAAAACAAAUCAGCUUUGAAGCUGCAACUGGGCUCACGAUUUGGCCCGAUAAAUCAGAAAGGUUCUGUGUAUCAUUGAUGUAACUGAAUUGAGCAGCCCACAUUGGGAUUAAAUUUAGGCGGACCCAAUGGCUAUGUUUUCUAAUUGGGCCUAUCUACCCUUCAUUCUUUGAGCCCAACUUACAUGCUACUCAUUUUACAAAAUUAUAACCCAAAUUAUUUCUAAUUAGAGAGCUCAGAUUUUGGAAAUCAAAAUACAACUUCAUGUUUAAGAAGUGAUUGCAUUGUACACGAUUUGCAGAAUAAAAAUAACAUGAAGGACAUACAUUCAUAUUAUGGCUCAUAGAAGAAAUCUUAAAAUUGAGCCAAGUUUAUUGGGCUUAAGGCCUAGACCCAACGGUCCAGGCUCAGACCUGUCAAGACCUAUUUUCAUCUAGGCUUAUCUCCAGGCCUGGCCCAAUUGCCCACUAUACUUAUGAAAAGAAAAUAUGAUAACACCCAGAUACACUCUUCAUGCUGUUAUUUCAAAUAUCAGUAUAUGAAACUAAAACCUUAGAUUAUUACAGUCCUCAAAAAUAAAAUUUCUUAGAAUCAAUACAUUGCAGCCUAUUAAUACAUGAACACUAUGCUAAUAACUAAUCUAUUAUAAAUUUUGCAUAACUGAUAUCCUGAAGAAUAUGGCCUCUUUUGGACAUGGUUUGUCCAUUAGAAUUUAGUCCUUUCUUGUGUUUAAACAGCAGUAUCCAAAUGUCAGCUUUUGAACCUACUGAUUUGGCAAAUUAACGACCAAAUCUGCAGGUACUAAGCCCCAAAUUAGCUAGCAGCUUUACAACCAUUCUCAUGUUCAAACAACAACUAUAACACACAGAUUUUAGUACACUAUUAGCUAUAUAUAUCUAAAUUUAGGCCUUAACACAUGCUGAUUUAACCAAUCAAUGGCCAAAUCUACAAGUUAUGGCUUACUUAACUUUAAACCAGGCAAGCAUUAUACUAGAUCACUUAUAAGCAAGAAAGGCAUGAAUAACAGCCGAAAGAGCUAAGGUAAAGGAAAUCAACAGAGAUUUACAACUUAUGCAAAUCCAGAUUUCAACAUGUUAAGAAGACUACAUCAUAAAAAAAACACAAAUGCUCAUGUUAAUACACUUACAAUCAUAAUAGCUAAAGUCAAAAGAUUAAUCAAAUAAUAUCAAAAGAAUACUCAUUCAUUACACAUUUCUUUGCAAAUUUUGACAUUUUUAUAACUUAUGUACAAGGAAACUACAUAGGAGAUCUGAAGCAGUACCUUGAAGAGUGAGAAUCGGCAAAGAAAAUAUGGAGACAAAUAGCUGAGAAUCCAAAGAUGGAACAAUAGAAGGGAGCAGACAACAGCAGCAGUAAAAGACAACACAACAACCUCAGAUAAACCCAGAUUCCCAAACAGCAAAACCAUAGCAAUAUUGAAACCAGAAAUUCCAACCCAAACUCAAGAAAAACCUUCUACUUCAGGCCAUGUUUUCAGCAAAAUCCCAAAGAAAAGAGGUGUUUUGAAGGUUUUAUAAGUUUUCUGAAAUCUGAUCUCUUCAUAAGAGAACAAGGAGCUUUGGUGCAGUAAAAUGAUACUAAAAUUACUAAUGAUUGCUAAAUUUUGUGUAAACCUAGAAUCAGAGGACGUAAAGAACUUUUAGGUCUUUUUUAGGUUAUCUAAGUCUGAUUUUUCUGUAUAGAAAUGGUACCAUAUAUAGGUACCAAAGAUGCCAUGUGCUGGAGG
rnacentral:lncRNA from 1 species